AGAACACAUACUGCUUCGUGAUUGUCAGUUCGUUAGAUGUGGACUCUGCGCCCCGAGUCUACUCCUGUUCUAACCUGGCUGCUCCAGCUUGAGCCAUCACUUUCUCAUUCUAACCAGGAAGAAACAAGAUAAGCAGACAAAAGAUACCUGGCCAAUAGCUUUUAGCGAAAGAUCCUGGAAUUGCCAGAUAGUUCUUCUACUAUGAAUUCAUUCACCAGAACCUAGCCAAGUGACAGCGCUUGAAUACAAAGGAACUAAAAUUUCCUUCACUUUGGGACAGCAGUGUGUUGAAAAUUGGAAUCUAGUAUAAUCAAGGAAGAGAAGCAUUAGUAGGAGGAGAUAAUGAGUAGUCUUUGCCUCGGGUUGCUUACUGAUAAUGCAGCAUGCAUUUUAAGUAUUUGCGGCCAGUCCACAGUGCCCUAUCUGUAAUGCAACUGAUGGGAUGCUCUUUCCCCACGUGAGCAUAGUCAUGUAGUUUUCACUCGUUUUUGUCAGGCCACCUGACCUGUACGUGGGGAAAAGGCCUAAAGAUAAAAUGUGCUAGAAAAUUUUAAUGGCGCCCAGCAGUUGAUUCCCAGCCUUAGAGCGUGCAUGCCUACUGGGAACUGGGAAACGCUGGAAGUAGAGAAUAAAAGUUGUUUGAAUUCUC
rnacentral:lncRNA from 1 species